rnacentral:rRNA from 1 species
AGUUUUCUAAACUCCCAACCCAUGUGAACUUACCUUUUGUUGCCUCGGCAGAAGUUAUAGGUCUUCUUAUAGCUGCUGCCGGUGGACCAUUAAACUCUUGUUAUUUUAUGUAAUCUGAGCGUCUUAUUUUAAUAAGUCAAAACUUUCAACAACGGAUCUCUUGGUUCUGGCAUCGAUGAAGAACGCAGCGAAAUGCGAUAAGUAAUGUGAAUUGCAGAAUUCAGUGAAUCAUCGAAUCUUUGAACGCACAUUGCGCCCAUUAGUAUUCUAGUGGGCAUGCCUGUUCGAGCGUCAUUUCAACCCUUAAGCCUAGCUUAGUGUUGGGAAUCUACUUCUCUUAGGAGUUGUAGUUCCUGAAAUACAACGGCGGAUUUGUAGUAUCCUCUGAGCGUAGUAAUUUUUUUUCUCGCUUUUGUUAGGUGCUAUAACUCCCAGCCGCUAAACCCCCAAUUUUUUGUGGUUGACCUCGGAUCAGGUAGGAAUACCCGCUGAACUUAAGCAUAUCAAUAAGCGGAGGAAAAGAAACCAACAGGGAUUGCCUUAGUAACGGCGAGUGAAGCGGCAACAGCUCAAAUUUGAAAUCUGGCCCUUGGGUCCGAAUUGUAAUUUGUAGAGGAUGAUUUUGGUGCGGUAUCUUCCGAGUUCCUUGGAACAGGACGCCUUAGAGGGUGAGAGCCCCGUACGGUUGAAUGCCUAGCCUCUGUAAAUCUCCUUCGACGAGUCGAGUAGUUUGGGAAUGCUGCUCUAAAUGGGAGGUAAAUUUCUUCUAAAGCUAAAUAUUGGCCAGAGACCGAUAGCGCACAAGUAGAGUGAUCGAAAGAUGAAAAGCACUUUGAAAAGAGGGUUAAAUAGCACGUGAAAUUGUUGAAAGGGAAGGAUUUGUGACCAGACUUUUUCUGGGCGGAUCAUCCGGGGUUCUCUCCGGUGCACUUCGCCCAGUAAAGGCCAGCAUCGGUUUUCGGCGUGGGAUAAAAGCAGUAGGAAUGUGGCUCUCUACGGGGAGUGUUAUAGCCUAUUGUAUAAUACCGCGCUGGGGACCGA